rnacentral:rRNA from 1 species
UGAAGUUAAAGGCUGUGGNUCAACCAUAGUUCGCUUUGGAAACUGUCAAACUUGAGUGCAGAAGGGGAGAGUGGAAUUCCAUGUGUAUCGGUGAAAUGCGUAGAUAUAUGGAGGANCACCGGUGGCGAAAGCGGCUCUCUGGUCUGUAACUGACGCUGAGGCUCGAAAGCGUGGGGAGCGAACAGGAUUAGAUACCCUGGUAGUNCACGCCGUAAACGAUGAGUGCUAGGUGUUGGAUCCUUUCCGGGAUUCAGUGCCGCAGCUAACGCAUUAAGCACUCCGCCUGGGGAGUACGACCGCAAGGUUGAAACUCAAAGGAAUUGACGGGGGCCCGCACAAGCGGUGGAGCAUGUGGUUUAAUUCGAAGCAACGCGAAGAACCUUACCAGGUCUUGACAUCCCGAUGCUAUUUCUAGAGAUAGGAAGUUACUUCGGUACAUCGGUGACAGGUGGUGCAUGGUUGUCGUCAGCUCGUGUCGUGAGAUGUUGNNNNAANNNNNGCAACGAGCGCAACCCCUAUUGUUAGUUGCCAUCAUUCAGUUGGGCACUCUAGCGAGACUGCCGGUAAUAAACCGGAGGAAGGUGGGGAUGACGUCAAAUCAUCAUGCCCCUUAUGACCUGGGCUACACACGUGCUACAAUGGUUGGUACAACGAGUUGCGAGUCGGUGACGGCGAGCUAAUCUCUUAAAGCCAAUCUCAGUUCGGAUUGUAGGCUGCAACUCGCCUACAUGAAGUCGGAAUCGCUAGUAAUCGCGGAUCAGCACGCCGCGGUGAAUACGUUCCCGGGCCU